CCUACGGGCGGCAGCAGUAGGGAAUAUUGCUCAAUGGGGGAAACCCUGAAGCAGCAACGCCGCGUGGAGGAUGAAGGUUUUAGGAUUGUAAACUCCUUUUGUUAGAGAAGAUUAUGACGGUAUCUAACGAAUAAGCACCGGCUAACUCCGUGCCAGCAGCCGCGGUAAUACGGAGGGUGCAAGCGUUACUCGGAAUCACUGGGCGUAAAGAGUGCGUAGGCGGGGUAAUAAGUCAGAUGUGGAAUCCUGUAGCUUAACUAAAGAACUGCAUUUGAAAAUGUUAAUUUGGAGUGUGGGAGAGGAGGGGGGAAGUCUGGGGGAAGGGGUAAAAGCCGUAGAGAUAAAGAGGAAUACUCAUGGCGAAGGCGACCUGCUGGAACAUUACUGACGCGGAUGCACGAAAGCGUGGGGAGCAAACAGGAUUAGAUACCCGGGUAGUC
rnacentral:rRNA from 1 species